AAGCAUGCAAGUCGAACGGGAACCUUGUCUUCGGACGAGGGGAUAGUGGCGAACGGGUGAGUAACACGUAGGUGAUCUGUCCUUGGAGUGGGGGAUAGCCCAUGGAAACAUGGGGUAGUACCGCAUGAGGUCUUGGAACUAUGGUUCUUAGAUGAAAGGAGCAAAUGUUCCGCUUUGGGAUGAGCCUGCGGUCCAUUAGCUAGUUGGUAGGGUAAAGGCCUACCAAGGCUACGAUGGAUAGCCGGCCUGAGAGGGUGAACGGUCACACUGGGACUGAGACACGGCCCAGACUCCUACGGGAGGCAGCAGCUAAGAAUCUUCCGCAAUGGGGGAAACCCUGACGGAGCGACGCCGCGUGGACGAUGAAGGCCUAGAGGUUGUAAAGUCCUUUUGCAGACGAGGAAUAAGGCAAGGAGUGGAACGCCUUGCUGAUGACGUUAGUCUUGCGAAUAAGCCCCGGCCAAUUACGUGCCAGCAGCCGCGGUAACACGUAUGGGGCGAGCGUUGUUCGGAAUUAUUGGGCGUAAAGGGCGCGUAGGCGGUGCUAUAAGCUUGGUGUGAAAUCCCCCGGCCUAACUGGGGAAUAGCGCUGAGAACUGUAGUGCUUGAGUUCUGGAGAGGAAGCUGGAAUUCCUGGUGUAGGGGUGAAAUCUGUAGAUAUCAGGAAGAACACCGGUGGCGAAGGCGGGCUUCUGGCCAGAAACUGACGCUGAGGCGCGGAAGCGUGGGGAGCGAACAGGAUUAGAUACCCUGGUAGUCCACGCUGUAAACGAUGUGCACUGGGUGUCGGGGCUUUAAUGGGUCUCGGUGCCGUAGUUAACGCGAUAAGUGCACCGCCUGGGGAGUAUGCUCGCAAGGGUGAAACUCAAAGGAAUUGACGGGGGCCCGCACAAGCGGUGGAGCAUGUGGUUUAAUUCGAUGAUACGCGAGGAACCUUACCAGGGCUUGACAUGUACCUGACGGUCUGUGAGAGCAGGCUUUCUCUUCUGGGACGGGUACACAGGUGCUGCAUGGUUGUCGUCAGCUCGUGUCGUGAGAUGUUGGGUUAAGUCCCGCAACGAGCGCAACCCCUACUGUCUGUUGCCAGCAUUAAGUUGGGGACUCGGACGGAACUGCCGGUGACAAACCGGAGGAAGGUGGGGAUGACGUCAAAUCAUCAUGGCCCUUAUGUCCUGGGCUACACACGUGCUACAAUGGCAGGUACAGCGCGCAGGAGCGAAACGGUGACGUGGAGCCAAUCGCUAAAAGCCUGCCUCAGUUCGGAUUGGAGUCUGAAACUCGACUCCAUGAAGGUGGAAUCGCUAGUAAUCGCGCAUCAGCAUGGCGCGGUGAAUACGUUCCCGGGCCUUGUACACACCGCCCGUCACACCACCCGAGUUGGGGGUACCCGAAGUCGCUUGUCUAACCCAUUCAUGGGACGACGGCGCCGAAGGUAUGCCUGGUAAGGGGGGUGAAGUCGAACAAGGU
rnacentral:rRNA from 1 species